rnacentral:rRNA from 1 species
CUUCGGAUCUAGCGGCGGACGGGUGAGUAACGCGUGGGAAUAUGCCCUUUGGUACGGAAUAGCCUCUGGAAACGGAGAGUAAUACCGUAUGUGCCCUUCGGGGGAAAGAUUUAUCGCCAAAGGAUUAGCCCGCGUUGGAUUAGGUAGUUGGUGGGGUAAUGGCCUACCAAGCCGACGAUCCAUAGCUGGUUUGAGAGGAUGAUCAGCCACACUGGGACUGAGACACGGCCCAGACUCCUACGGGAGGCAGCAGUGGGGAAUCUUAGACAAUGGGGGCAACCCUGAUCUAGCCAUGCCGCGUGAGUGAUGAAGGCCCUAGGGUUGUAAGCUCUUUCAGCUGGGAAGAUAAUGACGGUACCAGCAGAAGAAGCCCCGGCUAACUCCGUGCCAGCAGCCGCGGUAAUACGGAGGGGGCUAGCGUUGUUCGGAAUUACUGGGCGUAAAGCGCGCGUAGGCGGACUGGAAAGUUAGAGGUGAAAUCCCAGGGCUCAACCCUGGAACUGCCUU